rnacentral:pre_miRNA from 1 species
UGGUUGGAAUGGUCAGCAAAUAUAUUUUUAUAUAAGUAUAUACAUUAUUUGCGACCAAAUCCAGGCCACG